rnacentral:rRNA from 1 species
UACAGAGGGGGCAAGCGUUGUUCGGAAUUACUGGGCGUAAAGCGCACGUAGGUGGCUUUCUAAGUCGGGGGUGAAAUCCUGGAGCUCAACUCCAGAACUGCCUUCGAUACUGGAGAGCUUGAGUCCGGGAGAGGUGAGUGGAACUGCGAGUGUAGAGGUGAAAUUCGUAGAUAUUCGCAAGAACACCAGUGGUGAAGGCGGCUCACUGGCCCGGUACUGACGCUGAGGUGCGAAAGCGUGGGGAGCAAACAGG